UCCUAACCGACACUGAGGGCAGUUGAGGA
rnacentral:piRNA from 1 species